GAGAGGAAGGUCCCCCACACUGGUACUGAGACACGGACCAGACUCCUACGGGAGGCAGCAGUGAGGAAUAUUGGUCAAUGGGCGGGAGCCUGAACCAGCCAAGUAGCGA
rnacentral:rRNA from 1 species